AGGAGGGAUGCUGAUCUCAAUGCUACCUUUCACGCCAUUCAUUCUCCAACCGGACCUUUGUUGAUGAUGAUGAUCAGAAACAACGGGAAUAAAUGAAAUAAGGAGCAUCAAUCAAGCAAAGGGACUGUAUGAUGAUCAUAUUCUAUCAAUUUCAACAAAUAUGGCUUUCUUUGCUUCAAAUCUAAACCUAUUUUACGUAUUAACCGCGGAUUCAUGCAUCAGCUGCAUGAAUUGGAUGAUAUGGGAGGUUGUUGGUUCCAUUGUGUUUUUGAAGGUGCAUGAAUUGAGGACCACUUGGAUCUUGUGAGUUUGGUAGCAACCGUGUUACCAUGUCAUGUCUAUUCCUUACUAUUUACAUGUGUAUAUAUGUAAUUCACUUAGCACUAGUAUACUAGGAUUCAGAUUACUCCAAAGCUUCUUAUUGGUUAAACAGUUAUGUAAGAGCUAAAUUUUCAAUCAAUUUGUAUUAUGUAUUUAA